rnacentral:misc_RNA from 1 species
GCAAAAAUUGCUAGAACCUCUUGCAACUUGAACAAUAGAAUAGAAAGUAAUGCCUAAUUGAACAACCUUUCACUGUGAAGGCUGCACAUGGCAUGUAUAUAAAUUAGAGUAAUCGUUUAUGAGGAAAGUUAAGAUACUUUGUAAGCCAUCAUCUAUAUUGAGUGUGUAUGGGUUGAGGUCCUGAGGAUGCUAAUUGAGGUAAAUGGGGUAGAAUAGUGGUUGGUGUUUUUGAUUUCUCAUCCAGCUUAUGUAAUCUGUUUAUGAUUAGAAUCAACUCCCUAACCUUAUUAAUGCUGUUACUCUUUUGUUGCAUUUGAGACCUUUUGCUGUUCACCUAGAUAUUUAUGGGCAAUAGAAAUUAAAUUUGUUGGGCUAAUCUAAACAUUUCAUAUUUUUUUAAAUCAAGCUAUGUUGAGCUGAAAUUCGUUUAUGUUUUCUUUUUUAAACCUUUCCUGCAGCAAAUCAGAACAUGUAAUCUACAAGCUCAAAGAGAUGGGAAAGAUCGGGGAGAAAGAUAUAUUGCAGAUA